ACAAGAGGGCGGUGUGACUAGCAAAUGAAGUGUGGAAGACCCAUCAGCAGUGGAGGUUGCUGGGGACAACGGCUGAUGAAGCCUUCUCACGGUGCAGGAUCUUUGUCUCCCCCAAACCAACCAAGGCUGCAUUAACCUUUCCUGAAAAUAAAAAACAGUUCUGCUUUUACCAUUUGGGGGCCUGAGGCAAGUGUUCAAAUAGAAGCCCUCCUGCCAGUCUAUUAAAUGAAGCUACUAAACUAUUAAAUAGAAUAUGUUUGCUCCUCUCACCUUCCUCUCUGCUCAAUAGCAUGCCUCUUAACCACCUGGAGGCUGGGUCUACCUUCUGCCUUUCCUGCCACAAGACCUUGUCUUGUGCCCAGAGGGCCUCAGGCACGUGCGUGUGGACACCACAUUCCCAUCCACUAGAAUGGCAAACAUUACAAAGACUGUUGAAAGUGUUGUCACGGAUGUGAAGCAACUGAAACCCUUAGACACUGCUGGUGGGGAUGCAAAAUGGCACAGUCACUUUAGAAAACAGUAUGGCAAUUUCUAAUGAGGUCCCACAUGCAGCU
rnacentral:lncRNA from 1 species